UAAAAGUGCCAACGUUGCAUUAAAUUAUCAUUUACAAAAUCAGAUGGUAUCUGCCGCACGCCAGAAAGUAUCUGAUACUUGUUUUUCUUUUAAUAUGUUUUGUGCACCAGAAAGUUUAUUUUUUUUCGUUCAGGGGUUCCGUAUUUGGACCGCCCCCCCCAAAAAAAACCAAACAAAAACAAUCGCAGCCCUGGGCUAUUGCCCACGUCAGCCCUUUCUACAGUCUGGCCCAGCAGAAAACCGUUAAACUAAAGUUUCAGAUGUGGGUCAGGACUCUCGCGUGAAUCUGGUCGAGCUUCAUCCCCUGCUGAUGACGCUCCGCCCCUCAACGACUCAAGUUUGAAAACAGGCCAUUCAACGUAAGCAUAAACGCGUUAACUGGUCGCAAGUAGUCAAACUAAGGUCAUCCAAGUAAACUUGUGAAGUAUAUUGAGUUGCCAUGUCAGCAUAAAUAAAGUAAGUUUGACAAAUUUAAUUCGGUUACAUGUGACAAAUUUAAAACAAACAAAAAUAUUAAUCUGUUGUCUUUUUUUUAGUGAGGACUGCGUUCCUCACUGAAGCUCUGACCGACAUCUCCGUCCCCUGCUAAAUUAAAGAAUCCCCACAGCAUGAUGCUGCCACCGCCAUGCGCCUGUGUCCGAAGCGAUGCAGAGAAAGUUUUAUUAGGAGCUGCUGCAUGAGCAGCUCUUCUCUUCUUUGCUACACCACUUUUUUUUCUGCAGAUAUGAAAAUGUCUCAGCCGUGGCAGCAUGUUGUUCAGAUAACGGCCUCAGUGGGCAGCAGCAGCAGCGUAGAGAGAUUACAUGCAGAUGACUUGCGGCGCUGCCAUUGGSUGCAGCCGGCAGUCGCUUCCAGUUUCACACGCUCUCCCGCUUUUGUGUAGCAAAGUGCCUGCGGGACAAAAGGCGAGGGGAGGAUAAAGCGCAAGAAGUGAGAGGAGAUUUACAGGAGGAGCAACGCCUUCCUUGGCUCAUCUGAUUGUAAGCUGAUAACCUGGAACGCAGUGCUGAGCUGUUACAUAAGAGAGACAGGCGACACCCUCAGAGACCGUGCGUGUGUGUGUGUGUGUGCGUGUGUGUGUGUGUGUGAAAGUGUGUAAGAAGCCCACUUUCUCCCUCUCAUUGCAUUGUCAACCUUGUUUGAGGCACAGAUAACACUGUUAGUCACACUGACAUAUUUUCAGUCAAAAGAGACUGGCUGCAGCUGUGGUUCAUUUCUCCAUGUGUGUAUAUAUAUAUAUGUGUGUGUGUGGGUGUGUUGCUUUUCAUGUGAAAGACUCACACUCUGGCUUGAGGGAAAUGCAACCAGUUUUUAUCCCGUGAUCCCAUCCUGGCUGUAAUUUAUGAACUCUCAGCUCAUUUCCCAAUAUCUCACCAUGUGAGAGACAGUGAGCCGUUUGAAAAAAAGAAAAAAAAAACUCUGGGAAAGUUGCUGCAUCUUUUAUGUUUUUUUGCGUAUUUGCUGUCUAUAGUCAUGCAGGGCAAAGAUAUGUGUAUGAACUCACCGUGUCAUUAAUGAUCCAUUUAGAUACGUUUGUUGUAAAUGUCAGCUUCUAUGAAGUCGGAGACAAGAACAGAACAAAAAAAAAAGAAUCAAACAUUAAAGUGGUUUGUUCAGCUUGUUUAUAUCUUAACUACGUAAAAAAAUCUGGAUAUGUCAGCCAUACGGUUAUAAAAUGUAAUUUUUUUUCUACCAAAUCAGGAGAAAGUUGGAUGGAAAGAGAAAAUGCAACUAAAAAACAGUUGAAAUCAAAUUCGGAUUCAUGAAUAUUUUCAUAUUUUGUCUCAAAGCCACAUGGUUCUGUGUAUUUUACUUGGAUCUGAUAUGACGGAUCAGCACAAAUUAGCACACAGUUGCAAAUUGGAAGGAUAAAUAUCUACAACGUGUGGCGUACAUUUGUAUCCAGCCUCCUUCCCUCUGACACCCUGAAACCAAAAUCUAGUCCUCUUAAAAGAAACCCGUAAAUAGUCCUGGGGGUGGAGCUGAAACUUUUAGCGUUGGCUGGCGAAAGGUGAGAAACGUUUUCAACAUUUGUGUGAAAGCUAUUUUGUAUUUUCUAUAUUUAGCCUUAUCAGGAACAGAAAGCUGGCCUUUUUUUUUUUUUAUCAUCACAUUCAAAAAGGUUUUUUCCAGUUAACCCAUUGGCGUGUCACAUGUUCAGUAACCUUUAAACAAAGAUUCUCAACGCAGAACCUCAAGAAUAGCGUUGUUAUUACGAGUGUCACUUUGACACGCUUCCCUUCGGCCUGCAGAGCAGACAGAGGAGCGUGUGUUUACGAAACAAACUGGUGACUACAAUAUUUUGUCUGUAUUUGCAUUUCUUAAUGUCUUAGUCUGCUGGGAUGAAAUCAGUGUUCCCAGUGGUGAAUCCCUGUGAAUGUGGCAGCUCAGGUCGUGUGUUUAAGGUUUCAAGAUGGCCAUCUGUGCCAGAUGUUAAUGCCGCCUCUGCUGGGUGUGUAGCGAGUGUCUGAGGUGGACGUGUGUGUCUGUGAGCAGAUGGUUUGUGUUCAUCACAUACAUACACGCGCACACACACACACACACACACGCAUACACACACACACACACGCGCGCACACACACACACACACACACGCAUACACACACACACACACACACACACACACACACGGUUUCUCCCAUUAUCCCAGUACCCCCAGUCAUCAAUUAUUCACACCAGGACACUGACACCCAGGAAAUAUGAAAGUAAUAAAUAAUUCAAAUUUAAAAAAGUAAAACACAGUAUAUGUUUAUAAAA